CGUGUAGGCGGUCGGUCAAGUCCGAUGUGAAAGCCCGGGGCUCACCCCCGGAAGUGCAUCGGAAACUAGCCGGCUGGAGCGCGAUAGAGGAGGAUGGAAUUCCUGGUGUAGCGGUGAAAUGCGUAGAUAUCAGGAGGAACACCGGCGGCGAAGGCGGCCCUCUGGAUCGUUGCUGACGCUGAGACGCGAAAGCGUGGGGAGCAAACAGGAUUAGAUACCCUGGUAGUCCACGCUGUAAACGAUGGGUACUAGGUGUUCGGGGUAUUGACCCCCUGAGUGCCGCAGCUAACGCAUUAAGUACCCCGCCUGGGGACUACGGCCGCAAGGUUAAA
rnacentral:rRNA from 1 species